rnacentral:rRNA from 1 species
AACGAACGCUGGCGGCAGGCUUAACACAUGCAAGUCGAACGCAUCCUUCGGGGUGAGUGGCAGACGGGUGAGUAACGCGUGGGAACGUGCCCUUCAGUUCGGGAUAACCCAGGGAAACUUGGGCUAAUACCGGAUACGUGCGAGAGCAGAAAGAUUUAUCGCUGAAGGAUCGGCCCGCGUCUGAUUAGCUAGUUGGUGGGGUAAUGGCCCACCAAGGCGACGAUCAGUAGCUGGUCUGAGAGGAUGAUCAGCCACAUUGGGACUGAGACACGGCCCAAACUCCUACGGGAGGCAGCAGUGGGGAAUAUUGGACAAUGGGCGCAAGCCUGAUCCAGCCAUGCCGCGUGAGUGAUGAAGGCCUUAGGGUUGCAAAGCUCUUUCGUCCGGGGCGAUAAUGACGGUACCGGAAGAAGAAGCCCCGGCUAACUUCGUGCCAGCCGCCGCAGUAA